ensembl:snRNA U6 U6 spliceosomal RNA
GUGCUUGCUUCAGCAGCACAUAUACUAAAAUUGGAACGGUACAGAGAAAAGUAGCAAGGCCCCUGGGCAAAGAUGACAUGCAAAUUCCUGAAGCAUUCCACAUUUAA